rnacentral:rRNA from 1 species
GGAGGAUCCAAGCGUUAUCCGGAUUUAUUGGGUUUAAAGGGUGCGUAGGCGGCUUAUUAAGUCAGGGGUGAAAGACGGUGGCUCAACCAUCGCAGUGCCUUUGAUACUGAUGAGCUUGAAUACACUAGAGGUAGGCGGAAUGUGACAAGUAGCGGUGAAAUGCAUAGAUAUGUCACAGAACACCAAUUGCGAAGGCAGCUUACUAUGGUGUUAUUGACGCUGAGGCACGAAAGCGUGGGGAUCAAACAGGAUUAGAUACCCUGGUAGUCCACGCCCUAAACGAUGAAUACUCGAUGUUAGCGAUAUACCGUUAGCGUCUAAGCGAAAGCGUUAAGUAUUCCACCUGGGGAGUACGCCCGCAAGGGUG